GGACCGUGUAGUCAGUUGGCCGCAGUGGC
rnacentral:sRNA from 1 species